AAGGAUUUAAGUUAAAUAAACUAGUAACCUUCAAAGUUACCAAUAAAACCCUUCUCUUUUAAGCCUUA
rnacentral:tRNA from 1 species